ensembl:lncRNA
CAAACAAACCCCAAAACAAAAGCAAACCCAGAAAAACACCUAAGAAAAUAGCCGAAGCGUUUGCAGGGCUGUUGGCAGAACUGCUGCCUGCCCCAAGGAGCACCCACGGCAGGAGGCAGUGCUGGUAAUUCCGUCGCUGCAGCCGGGGACUUGGAUGGGGUUGGUGAGAAUUCAGAUACUGUCUAUCCCAAUUGGCUUGAAGCCUGUGAGCAUGGUAUCUUCUAGAAGCAUAGCUGCAGGAGCUCCAGCCCAUCGUGUGUUACCAAAGCCAAAGCUGAUAUCCACUGCCGUGGUGGAAGAGGGCAAUCAGAGAAUCACUGAAUUGAUAAAGUUGGAAAAGACCUCCAAGAACACCAAGUCCAACCUCAGCCCAUCCUCACCACAUCCACUGACCGUGUCCCUAAAUUGAAUCACAGAAUCAUUAAGGUUGGAGAAGACCUC